UACGUAGGGGGCAAGCGUUAUCCGGAAUUACUGGGUGUAAAGGGAGCGUAGACGGUGAUGUAAGUCUGGAGUGAAAGGCGGGGGCCCAACCCCCGGACUGCUCUGGAAACUAUGUGACUGGAGUACAGGAGAGGUGAGCGGAAUUCCUAGUGUAGCGGUGAAAUGCGUAGAUAUUAGGAGGAACACCAGUGGCGAAGGCGGCUCACUGGACUGUAACUGACGUUGAGGCUCGAAAGCGUGGGGAGCAAACAGG
rnacentral:rRNA from 1 species